rnacentral:rRNA from 1 species
GAUGAACGCUGGCGGCGUGCCUAAUACAUGCAAGUCGAACGAAACUUCUUUAUCACCGAAUGCUUGCACUCACCGAUAAAGAGUUGAGUGGCGAACGGGUGAGUAACACGUGGGCAACCUGCCCAAAAGAGGGGGAUAACACUUGGAAACAGGUGCUAAUACCGCAUAACCAUAGUUACCGCAUGGUAACUAUGUAAAAGGUGGCUAUACUACCGCUUUUGGAUGGGCCCGCGGCGCAUUAGCUAGUUGGUAGGGUAAAGGCUUACCAAGGCAAUGAUGCGUAGCCGAAUUGAGAGGUUGAUCGGCCACAUUGGGACUGAGACACGGCCCAAACUCCUACGGGAGGCAGCAGUAGGGAAUCUUCCACAAUGGGCGAAAGCCUGAUGGAGCAACGCCGCGUGGGUGAAGAAGGUCUUCGGAUCGUAAAACCCUGUUGUUAGAGAAGAAAGUGCGUGAGAGUAACUGUUCACGUUUCGACGGUAUCUAACCAGAAAGCCACUGCUAACUACGUG